rnacentral:rRNA from 1 species
UAAACUCCUGUUGUUGAGGAAGAUAAUGACGGUACUCAACAAGGAAGUGACGGCUAACUACGUGCCAGCAGCCGCGGUAAAACGUAGGUCACAAGCGUUGUCCGGAAUUACUGGGUGUAAAGGGAGCGCAGGCGGGAGAACAAGUUGGAAGUGAAAUCCAUGGGCUCAACCCAUGAACUGCUUUCAAAACUGUUUUUCUUGAGUAGUGCAGAGGUAGGCGGAAUUCCCGGUGUAGCGGUGGAAUGCGUAGAUAUCGGGAGGAACACCAGUGGCGAAGGCGGCCUACUGGGCACCAACUGACGCUGAGGCUCGAAAGUGUGGGUAGCAAACAGGAUUAGAUACCCUGGUAGUCCACACCGUAAACGAUGAUUACUAGGUGUUGGAGGAUUGACCCCUUCAGUGCCGCAGUUAACACAAUAAGUAAUCCACCUGGGGAGUACGACCGCAAGGUUGAAACUCAAAGGAAUUGACGGGGGCCCGCACAAGCAGUGGAGUAUGUGGUUUAAUUCGACGCAACGCGAAGAACCUUACCAAGUCUUGACAUCCCUUGACGAUGCUGGAAACAGCAUUUCUCUUCGGAGCAAGGAGACAGGUGGUGCAUGGUUGUCGUCAGCUCGUGUCGUGAGAUGUUGGGUUAAGUCCCGCAACGAGCGCAACCCUUAUGGUCAGUUACUACGCAAGAGGACUCUGGCCGGACUGCGUUUGACAA